AACGAACGCUGGCGGCAUGCCUAACACAUGCAAGUCGAACGAGACCCCUGACUUCGGUUGGCGGGUCUAGUGGCGCACGGGUGCGUAACGCGUGGGAAUCUGCCCUUGGGUUCGGAAUAACUCAGAGAAAUUUGAGCUAAUACCGGAUGAUGACGAAAGUCCAAAGAUUUAUCGCCCAGGGAUGAGCCCGCGUAAGAUUAGCUUGUUGGUGGGGUAAUGGCCUACCAAGGCGACGAUCUUUAGCUGGUCUGAGAGGAUGAUCAGCCACACUGGGACUGAGACACGGCCCAGACUCCUACGGGAGGCAGCAGUGGGGAAUAUUGGACAAUGGGCGCAAGCCUGAUCCAGCAAUGCCGCGUGAGUGAUGAAGGCCUUAGGGUUGUAAAGCUCUUUUACCAGGGAUGAUAAUGACAGUACCUGGAGAAUAAGCUCCGGCUAACCUCCGUGCCAGCACGCCGACGGUAAACAUACUCGUA
rnacentral:rRNA from 1 species